GGGGCUGUAGCUCAGCUGGGAGAGCGCCUGCUUUGCAAGCAGGAGGCCGCCGGUUCAAUCCCGGCCAGCUCCA
rnacentral:tRNA from 1 species